CAACCUGCCGUCUACUCUUGGACAGCCUUCUGAAAGGAAGAUUAAUACAAGAUGGCAUCAUGAGUCNNCAUGUUCACAUGAUUAAAGGUAUUCCGGUAGACGAUGGGGAUGCGUUCCAUUAGAUAGUAGACGGGGUAACGGCCCACCUAGUCUUCGAUGGAUAGGGGUUCUGAGAGGAAGGUCCCCCACAUUGGAACUGAGACACGGUCCAAACUCCUACGGGAGGCAGCAGUGAGGAAUAUUGGUCAAUGGGCGAGAGCCUGAACCAGCCAAGUAGCGUGAAGGAUGACUGCCCUAUGGGUUGUAAACUUCUUUUAUAAAGGAAUAAAGUCGGGUAUGGAUACCCGUUUGCAUGUACUUUAUGAAUAAGGAUCGGCUAACUCCGUGCCAGCAGCCGCGGUAAUACGGAGGAUCCGAGCGUUAUCCGGAUUUAUUGGGUUUAAAGGGAGCGUAGAUGGAUGUUUAAGUCAGUUGUGAAAGUUUGCGGCUCAACCGUAAAAUUGCAGUUGAUACUGGAUAUCUUGAGUGCAGUUGAGGCAGGCGGAAUUCGUGGUGUAGCGGUGAAAUGCUUAGAUAUCACGAAGAACUCCGAUUG
rnacentral:rRNA from 1 species